UACGAAGGGUGCAAGCGUUACUCGGAAUUACUGGGCGUAAAGCGUGCGUAGGUGGUUUGUUAAGUCUGUUGUGAAAGCCCCGGGCUCAACCUGGGAAUGGCAAUGGAUACUGGCAGGCUAGAGUGCGGUAGAGGGUAGUGGAAUUCCCGGUGUAGCGGUGAAAUGCGUAGAGAUCGGGAGGAACACCAGUGGCGAAGGCGGCUACCUGGGACCAGCACUGACACUGAGGCACGAAAGCGUGGGGAGCAAACAGGG
rnacentral:rRNA from 1 species